AACGAACGCUGGCGGCAGGCUUAACACAUGCAAGUCGAACGCACCCUUCGGGGUGAGUGGCAGACGGGUGAGUAACGAGUGGGAACGUACCAUGCGGUUCGGAACAACCCAGGGAAACCUGGGAUACUACCGGAUGCGCCCGCUCAUGGGCGGGGAAAGGUCGACUGCCGAAGGAUCGGCCCGCGUCGGAUUAGCUAGACGGUGGGGUAACGGCCCACCGUGGCGAAGAUCCGUAGCUGGUCUGAGAGGAUGAUCAGCCACAAUGGGGCUGAGACACGGCCCAGACUCCUACGGGAGGCAGCAGUGGGGAAUAUUGGUCAAUGGGCGCAAUCCUGAACCAGCCAUGCCGCGUGAGUGAAGAAGGCCUUAGGGUUGUAAAGCUCUUUCAGCGGGGACGAUAAUGACGGUACCCGCAGAAGAAGCCCCGGCUAACUUCGUGCCAGCCGCCGCCGUAA
rnacentral:rRNA from 1 species